AGAGUUUGAUCCUGGCUCAGAUUGAACGCUGGCGGCAGGCCUAACACAUGCAAGUCGAGCGGCAGCACGGGUACUUGUACCUGGUGGCGAGCGGCGGACGGGUGAGUAAUGCCUAGGAAUCUGCCUGGUAGUGGGGGACAACGUUCGGAAACGGACGCUAAUACCGCAUACGUCCUACGGGAGAAAGUGGGGGAUCUUCGGACCUCACGCUAUCAGAUGAGCCUAGGUCGGAUUAGCUAGUUGGUGAGGUAAUGGCUCACCAAGGCGACGAUCCGUAACUGGUCUGAGAGGAUGAUCAGUCACACUGGAACUGAGACACGGUCCAGACUCCUACGGGAGGCAGCAGUGGGGAAUAUUGGACAAUGGGCGAAAGCCUGAUCCAGCCAUGCCGCGUGUGUGAAGAAGGUCUUCGGAUUGUAAAGCACUUUAAGUUGGGAGGAAGGGCAUUAACCUAAUACGUUGGUGUUUUGACGUUACCGACAGAAUAAGCACCGGCUAACUCUGUGCCAGCAGCCCGCGGUAAUACAGAGGGGUGCAAGCGUUUAAUCCGGAAUUACUGGGCGUAAAGCGCC
rnacentral:rRNA from 1 species